GCGACAGGCUUAACACAUGCAAGUUGAGGGGCAGCACAGGUAGCAAUACCGGGUGGCGACCGGCGCACGGGUGAGUAACGCGUAUGCAACUUGCCUAUCAGAGGGGGAUAACCCGGCGAAAGUCGGACUAAUACCGCAUGAAGCAGGGGCCCCGCAUGGGGAUAUUUGCUAAAGAUUCAUCGCUGAUAGAUAGGCAUGCGUUCCAUUAGGCAGUUGGCGGGGUAACGGCCCACCAAACCGACGAUGGAUAGGGGUUCUGAGAGGAAGGUCCCCCACAUUGGUACUGAGACACGGACCAAACUCCUACGGGAGGCAGCAGUGAGGAAUAUUGGUCAAUGGGCGCGAGCCUGAACCAGCCAAGUCGCGUGAGGGAUGAAGGUUCUAUGGAUCGUAAACCUCUUUUAUAAGGGAAUAAAGUGCGGGACGUGUCCCGUUUUGUAUGUACCUUAUGAAUAAGGAUCGGCUAACUCCGUGCCAGCAGCCGCGGUAAUACGGAGGAUCCGAGCGUUAUCCGGAUUUAUUGGGUUUAAAGGGUGCGUAGGCGGCCUUUUAAGUCAGCGGUGAAAGUCUGUGGCUCAACCAUAGAAUUGCCGUUGAAACUGGGAGGCUUGAGUAUGUUUGAGGCAGGCGGAAUGCGUGGUGUAGCGGUGAAAUGCAUAGAUAUCACGCAGAACCCCGAUUGCGAAGGCAGCCUGCCAAGCCAUUACUGACGCUGAUGCACGAAAGCGUGGGGAUCAAACAGGAUUAGAUACCCUGGUAGUCCACGCAGUAAACGAUGAUCACUAGCUGUUUGCGAUACAUUGUAAGCGGCACAGCGAAAGCGUUAAGUGAUCCACCUGGGGAGUACGCCGGCAACGGUGAAACUCAAAGGAAUUGACGGGGGCCCGCACAAGCGGAGGAACAUGUGGUUUAAUUCGAUGAUACGCGAGGAACCUUACCCGGGUUUGAACGCAUUCGGACCGAGGUGGAAACACCUUUUCUAGCAAUAGCCGUUUGCGAGGUGCUGCAUGGUUGUCGUCAGCUCGUGCCGUGAGGUGUCGGCUUAAGUGCCAUAACGAGCGCAACCCUUGCCACUAGUUACUAACAGGUAAAGCUGAGGACUCUGGUGGGACUGCCAGCGUAAGCUGCGAGGAAGGCGGGGAUGACGUCAAAUCAGCACGGCCCUUACAUCCGGGGCGACACACGUGUUACAAUGGCGUGGACAAAGGGAAGCCACCUGGCGACAGGGAGCGAAUCCCCAAACCACGUCUCAGUUCGGAUCGGAGUCUGCAACCCGACUCCGUGAAGCUGGAUUCGCUAGUAAUCGCGCAUCAGCCAUGGCGCGGUGAAUACGUUCCCGGGCCUUGUACACACCGCCCGUCAAGCCAUGGGAGCCGGGGGUACCUGAAGUCCGUAACCGCGAGGAUCGGCCUAGGGUAAAACUGGUGACUGGGGCUAAGUC
rnacentral:rRNA from 1 species